AAUGCACUGGCACACACAUACAUAUAUAUACGCGGGCCACACAUGGAGCUCACAUUAUUGAACACACGCGAGACAAGGCGAAGCCAACAAUUGCCCACCCACCGACCGCCACACACACACACCCCCCCCCCUUUCUUGGCCCACUUGGUAGCCACAAUUGCGAAACUGGCGAAACGGGCUGAGGCUUUGCAAUUAGGAGGAGCCACGAAGUCCUCGUCGAGCCAUCGUCCUCGUCAUCGGUCGUCGUCUAAACAGAGAAAAGAGAACAGAAUCCAGAAGUUGGGGGGAAUAUGCACUGGCAGAAAAUGCCACAUAAAAGAUGUGAAAAAUGCAAUAAAUGCAAGUAUCACGGAAAGUGACCCAAAUAC
ensembl:ncRNA lncRNA:CR45532 long non-coding RNA:CR45532